rnacentral:rRNA from 1 species
CGCCCAACAGCUAGCCCAACCCCCAACCUCAAAAUUUCACUAUAUAUAACCCCAAACACACCACCAUAAACCAAACAAACCAUUUUACCCCCCAAGUACGGGCGACAGAAAAGGACCUAAGAGCUAUAGAAAAAGUACCGCAAGGGAAAGCUGAAAGAGUAAUGAAAAAACCCAGUUAAGCGCCAGAAAGCAGAGACCGACCCUCGUACCUUUUGCAUCAUGAUUUAGCCAGUAAACCUUAAGCAGAAAGAAUUAUAGUUUAAAUCCCCGAAACCAGACGAGCUACUCCAAGACAGCCUAAUUUAUAGGGCCCCCCCCGUCUCUGUGGCAAAAGAGUGGGAAGAGCUUAGAGUAGAGGUGACAGACCUACCGAGCCUGGUUAUAGCUGGUUACCUGAGAACUGAAUAGAAGUUCAGCCCUUUAAAUUCUUUAUUCUUGUUGGCCCAGUGCCUCCCACCGAACAAAAGAAGUUAAAAGAGUUAGUCAAAGGGGGUACAGCCCCUUUGAAAUAAGAUACAACUUUCCAAGGAGGGUUAGGAUCAAAACAACUAAAGGUCAAAUGUUCUAGUGGGCCUGAAAGCAGCCAUCUAUUUAGAAAGCGUUAAAGCUCGAACAUUAAAACUUCCUUCUAAUAAAGACAACAUAAUCCCACCCCCCUACCCCUAUCAGGUCACUCCAUCGCAACAUGGAGGCGUUCAUGCUAAUAUGAGUAAUAAGAGAACCCCCUUCUCUCCCCGCACAAGUGUAAGUCGGAACGAACCCCUCACCGACAAUUAACGGCCCCAAAACAAAGAGGGAACUAGGCAGAAAAUAAAUAACUAGAAAACCACCUACCAUCCCACCGUUGACCCCACACUGGUGUGCUAGCAGGAAAGACUAAAAGAAAAAGAAGGAACUCGGCAAACAUAAGCCUCGCCUGUUUACCAAAAACAUCGCCUCUUGCCCCUAAAAUAUAAGAGGUCCCGCCUGCCCUGUGACUAUAC